UGACUUCUGGUAAGGUUGGCAUUUGCGUUCUGCAAAUAAACAUUAGAAAAAGCUGAAACGUUCAUUCCUCACUUGGACUAGAUAUCUUUCUAAAUAAUACUGUAGUUAAAGCACAGUAAUCUUAAACCAGCAGCAAAUUAAUGUCUAAUAUAUUCAAAAAAAAAAUUGUCUUCAGCAGAAGCCAAACUAGAUUAAAAAAAAAAAGUGCAAGAAGCAUUGUUUUAAGAAGAAAAUAUUUUCCACUGUGUUAAAAUGUACCUAUAUCUUUAACAAAAUGAAACUUGAGAUUUUCUUCAAGUGUUGGUUGUUCAUAUAGAAACUUAAAAAAAUAAAAAUAAAAAUCCACAAUUCUAAGUGCCAUAUGACAAAACAAACAAACAAAUAAACAAAUAAACAAAAAAACUUGCUUCUAAUUUUCCCCUUUGUAGCUACUCUGAACUUCCAGUGUUUUGAAUUUGAGAAAAUAGAACAUAUCUUUGCUGUUAGUGGGAAGAAAUAGAAAGACUGGAAUGGGGUUAAAGUAACUCUUAGUACAUUCUUUCCCAAGGGAAACUUGACUGUCAACAGUGGAUUAUGCUAACUUUCCCUUUGUCUAAUGCUUCACAGGUUGUGGGUUUAAUCACCUUUAAAGUGAAGAAUGGAAGGAGAAAGCAGAUUUGAACUAAAGUAUGUGCCAUAAGUUCUGAGUGCUUAAGACCUUACCUCAGCAGUAGAGUUCACUGAUUGUGCUGGAGGCUCUAUCCAGGAGGAAGACCAUGACAAAAAGGGGAAGAAUUCUUCAGCUGUUAAUGAAAGUAUUGCUUUGGCAUAACAAACAUUUUUGGUAUUUCAGAUGCACAGAUUCUAUUAUCUAUUAUCUUUAAAGUGCCUUUCUCUGCUAAGUGUUGGCAGUGGGCUACGGUGACAGUAGACUUUGAGGAGGCCUUCUGGGAACCUUGCCAUCCGUGCCCAUCAUGGUGAAAAUAUUUCAGCACACUUUUCAACAUCAUGGACUCUAAGCUUCCAGGGCAGCAAAUCAAUGAGGAAAAUACUUGGCUGAUGGCCCCUCUAAGUACUGGAAGGCCUCUGUAAGGUCUCCUUGGAGCCUUUUCUUCUCCAGGAUGAACAAUCUCUCAGCUUUUCUUCAUCACAGAAGUACUCUAGCCCUCUGAUCAACCUCAAGGCCUUCUUCUGGACAAGGUUACCAGUUUCCAGAGAUGAACACAGUAUUCUAGGUGGGGUAUCAUGAAAAUGUUUUGGAGGUUUGUCAUACUAACAACAUCAAUAAGAUACAA
ensembl:lncRNA